AUUGAACGCUGGCGGAAUGCUUUACACAUGCAAGUCGAACGGCAGCACGGACUUCGGUCUGGUGGCGAGUGGCGAACGGGUGAGUAAUGUAUAGGAACGUGCCCAGUCGUGGGGGAUAACGUAUUGGAAAUUACGCUAAUACCGCAUACGAUCUAUGGGUGAAAGCGGGGGAUCGCAAGACCUCGCGCGAUUGGAGCGGCCGAUAUCAGAUUAGGUAGAUGGUGGGGUAAAGGCCGACCAAGCCAACGAUCUGUAGCUGGUCGGAGAGGAAGACCAGCCGCACUGGAACGGAGACACGUUCCAGAGUCCUACGGGAGGGAGCAGUGGGGAAUUUUGGACAAUGGGCGAAAGCCUGAGCCAGCCAUUCCGCGUUCAGGAUGAAGGCGCUCGGGUUGUAAACUGCUUUUGUACAGAACGAAAAGGUUUCUACUAAUACUAGGAGCUCAUGACGGUACUGUAAGAAUAAGCACCGGCUAACUACGUGCCAGCAGCCGCGGUAA
rnacentral:rRNA from 1 species